rnacentral:rRNA from 1 species
GAUGAACGCUGGCGGCGUGCCUAAUACAUGCAAGUCGAGCGAACAGACGAGGAGCUUGCUCCUCUGACGUUAGCGGCGGACGGGUGAGUAACACGUGGAUAACCUACCUAUAAGACUGGGAUAACUUCGGGAAACCGGAGCUAAUACCGGAUAAUAUAUUGAACCGCAUGGGUCAAUAGUGAAAGACGGUUUUGCUGUCACUUAUAGAUGGUUACGGGCCGCAUUAGCUAGUUGGUAAGGUAACGGCUUACCAAGGCUACGAUGCGUAGCCGACCGGAGAGGGGGGUAGGCGACAUGGGAGCGGAGGCACGGUCCAGAGUCCUACGGGAGGGAGCAGUAGGGUAUGUUCGGCAAUGGUGGAGAGCAUGACGGAGCAAGGCGGCGCGAGUGAUGAAGGCGUUGGGUGCGUAAAACUCUGCUAUUAGGUAAGAACAAAUGUGUAAGUAACUAUGCACGGCUUGACGGUACCUAGUAAGAAAGCCACGGCUAACUACGUG